rnacentral:tRNA from 1 species
GCAGAUGUGGCGAAAUUGGCAGACGCACUAGAUUUAGGUUCUAGCGCCGAGAGGCGUGGGGGUUCGACUCCCUUCAUCUGCACCA